ncrna:unclassified sequences chromate-resist RNA
CGGGGGUUGCGAUCCCCCCGCGAGGCGACAUGCCCAAGAAUCGC